rnacentral:lncRNA from 1 species
UUCAUUUCAUAUUUAACCUACAAAUAACGAUGUGAUAUUCGACUUUUGAUCACAUAAUUGAAGUAGGAAUUAUAUAUGAGAGUGGAUGACCUCAUUAUUCAUGUUGAUCUCAUUUUGGUAGUUUGGUAUAUACGCGGAAGUUAUUAAGCGAUUGUUGAACGCAUUGAGUCAUGAGGUAUGUUCAGGAGUUUUUGAAGAGGUUUAGACAAGUGAAACUGGAACGAAUUUUGAGAGAAAAUAAUGCUAAUACAAUGAUUUAGCUUUAACUUAGCAUCGAUAAAAUGGGAAAGGAAAAGAAGAAGGCACCGGAUGAACCUCGAAUGACA